rnacentral:rRNA from 1 species
GCUAGCUACAGGCUUAACACAUGCAAGUCCUUGGGCAGCAUUUCAGUUUGCUUGCAAACUGGAGAUGGCGACCGGCGCACGGGUGAGUAACACGUAUCCAACCUGCCGAUAACUCGGGGAUAGCCUUUCGAAAGAAAGAUUAAUACCCGAUGGCAUAAUUAGACCGCAUGGUCUUAUUAUUAAAGAAUUUCGGUUAUCGAUGGGGAUGCGUUCCAUUAGGCAGUUGGUGAGGUAACGGCUCACCAAACCUUCGAUGGAUAGGGGUUCUGAGAGGAAGGUCCCCCACAUUGGAACUGAGACACGGUCCAAACUCCUACGGGAGGCAGCAGUGAGGAAUAUUGGUCAAUGGGCGCAGGCCUGAACCAGCCAAGUAGCGUGAAGGAUGACUGCCCUAUGGGUUGUAAACUUCUUUUAUAUGGGAAUAAAGUUUUCCACGUGUGGAAUUUUGUAUGUACCAUAUGAAUAAGGAUCGGCUAACUCCGUGCCAGCAGCCGCGGUAAUACGGAGGAUCCGAGCGUUAUCCGGAUUUAUUGGGUUUAAAGGGAGCGUAGGUGGACAGUUAAGUCAGUUGUGAAAGUUUGCGGCUCAACCGUAAAAUUGCAGUUGAUACUGGCUGUCUUGAGUACAGUAGAGGUGGGCGGAAUUCGUGGUGUAGCGGUGAAAUGCUUAGAUAUCACGAAGAACUCCGAUUGCGAAGGCAGCUCACUGGACUGCAACUGACACUGAUGCUCGAAAGUGUGGGUAUCAAACAGGAUUAGAUACCCUGGUAGUCCACACAGUAAACGAUGAAUACUCGCUGUUUGCGAUAUACAGUAAGCGGCCAAGCGAAAGCAUUAAGUAUUCCACCUGGGGAGUACGCCGGCAACGGUGAAACUCAAAGGAAUUGACGGGGGCCCGCACAAGCGGAGGAACAUGUGGUUUAAUUCGAUGAUACGCGAGGAACCUUACCCGGGCUUAAAUUGCAUUUGAAUAAUCUGGAAACAGGUUAGCCGCAAGGCAAAUGUGAAGGUGCUGCAUGGUUGUCGUCAGCUCGUGCCGUGAGGUGUCGGCUUAAGUGCCAUAACGAGCGCAACCCUUAUCUUUAGUUACUAACAGGUCAUGCUGAGGACUCUAGAGAGACUGCCGUCGUAAGAUGUGAGGAAGGUGGGGAUGACGUCAAAUCAGCACGGCCCUUACGUCCGGGGCUACACACGUGUUACAAUGGGGGGUACAGAAGGCAGCUACCUGGUGACAGGAUGCUAAUCCCAAAAGCCUCUCUCAGUUCGGAUCGAAGUCUGCAACCCGACUUCGUGAAGCUGGAUUCGCUAGUAAUCGCGCAUCAGCCAUGGCGCGGCGAAUACGUUCCCGGGCCUUGUACACACCGCCCGUCAAGCCAUGAAAGCCGGGGGUACCUGAAGUACGUAACCGCAAGGAGCGUCCUAGGGUAAAACUGGUAA